CGGCGUCACCGGCGACAGCGCUGCCGUGAUGGUGGAAAAGGCCAGAAUGCCCGAACCGCCUCCGCCGCCGCCGCCCGUAGAGUCAAUGGGCGAGCCGCCGCCGGCACCGCCGCCACCGACAAGGUAGACCGUGGCGGCCGUGGCACCCGCCGGAAUGACAAAGGUGCUCGUCGUCGUGAUGACCGUCGUCACGGGCGUCGGCGGGACCGGAGGCGUCGGCGGGAUGACCGGAGGAAUGAAGGGCGGGCACGGGCACGGCCGCGGGCAGGGCACCCGCUGCGCCGGCAGCACCACCUUGAUCUUGCAUGUGUAUCGCUUGUCGCCUCCCUUGCCCAUUUUUUUUGUCUGUCCUUUUUUGCUUCGAUUACUUUUUUUGACUGGCUACGAGUCUGUC
rnacentral:lncRNA from 1 species